rnacentral:rRNA from 1 species
GACGAACGCUGGCGGCGUGCUUAACACAUGCAAGUCGAACGGUGACGACAGGGCUUGCCUUGUCAGAUCAGUGGCGAACGGGUGAGUAACACGUGAGUAACCUGCCCCUGACUCUGGGAUAACCCCGGGAAACCGGAGCUAAUACCGGAUAUGACACGCCUCCGCACGGGGAGCGUGUGGAAAGGUUUUCGGUCUGGGAGUGACUCGCGGCCUAUUAGCUUGUUGGUGAGGGAAUGGCUCAGCAAGGCGACGACGGGUAGCCGGCCUGAGAGGGCGACCGGCCACACUGGGACUGAGACACGGCCCAGACUCCUACGGGAGGCAGCAGUGGGGAAUAUUGCACAAUGGGCGAAAGCCUGAUGCAGCGACGCCGCGUGAGGGAUGACGGCCUUCGGGUUGUAAACCUCUUUCAGCAGGGAAGAAGCGCAAGUGACGGUACCUGCAGAAGAAGCACCGGCUAACUACGUGCCAGCCGCCGCCGUAACAC